UUUACUCUAUUGUUCUUCAUCUUAUCAACUUCUGACGCAAACCUCCAUAUUCUUGAAAGUUCUAGCAUUUCUCUGCUUUCAUAACGACCGACAAGCUACUCCAAAGAGAAGUCUACGAGCAUCGAUUGCUCUCUCUAUGUGAAGACAAGAGCAGUGCAGAAAACAAAGGAAGCAGAACAAGAAGAGAAUGAAGAAAUUAGGGACGCCCAAAAUGCUUCUCUCUCUGCUCACCACGAUGAGCUUGUUCCUUCACCUCCGGGGUUCUGGGUUUGGAUCAGAUCCAUGGCAGAAUAUUGAGGAGAAGGCGACCAACGUUUCAUGGUACAGUAACAAUAAUUACAUCGAAGAUCUUAUGAAGGCCAGAUUGUCCGUAGAAGCUGAUCCCAUUGUGCCUCUGAUGAGUACGGCAAUGAAGGCCCCCGUCACGGGCGGAACCCCA